rnacentral:lncRNA from 10 species
GUUAUUUCUCUUUUCCCUCCUCUUGAAUCUGGGCUGACUUAUUUUGGCAUAUAGAAUAUAGGAAAUGAUAUUACAUAACUUUCCAAGUUUCACCUUAAGAGAUCUGCAAUUCUCACCUUCCAGCCCCAUGGAGAAGCCCAUAGAGGUGAACUGAGGCACUCCAGUUGACAGACCCAGUUGACCUUUCAGGCGACUGCCAUCACCAACUGCAAGCCAUAUGAAAGAGACAUCUUAGACCUCCUGACGCUGUCAAGCCUCCAGAUUUCUGCAGCCCUAUUCAACACCCUGUGGAACAGAAGAACUACUCACCUGAUGCCAGUCAACUCAGAGACUCAUGAAAGAUAAUAAAUGACAGAUUGUUUUGAGAUGGUUUGUUAAAAAGCAACAAAUAACUAAAACACUUCUAUUGCUUCAAUACUGAGAAAAUCCAGAUACCAAUGAACUCUUUUCCUAUAUUUUCUUCUAAUUUUUAAAAGUAUCUUCUAGAGUUUUGGCUUAAAUUUCAUUUUUUAAAAUUCAGCCAAAUGACAACUCCAUUUGAUAGAUAAUUUAUUCACUCUUUUUUUAUAAUUUUUUUUCUCUAAGAUAUUGAAGGAGGGUUUAGGUUAUUUUUCCUGUAAUAAAUUAAUAUACAUUCAUUCUAGAAAGUGAGGGUGGGGAGGACAGAGCUUGACUCUGCCCUUAAUCUCACCUCUUCAGGGACAACCACUACUACCAUUUUGAUGCAUUUCCAUUAAUUUUCAGUAUAUAUUUUAAUGUUAAUACUAUUAGGUUAAUAUAAUCCAUUUUAUAACUCAGAUGUGUUACAUAUUUUAUAGGGUAAUUCACAAUACAAAGAACUCUGCAGAGAAAGUGCAUGAGUACUGAAAGCAGGGUUACACUAGCCCAGAGGAAGGGUGUAUUUUCCUAAAAAAAAUGCUAGAAGCUUAUCAAGCCCUGAGCCCUCACAGCUUUUUCACCCAAUGGUGGAGCCUUCUUAAGCUGUGGGUCUGUUAUGACCUGCUCUAUUUUUUGUUGAACUUUAUAACAUAAACUUUGUCUCACAUUGCUAAAAGCUGAGAAAUGUUUUGAAGAAGGAAACCACUAGACUUGGGCACAACUGAAUAUAAGAAAUAUGAGGCUGAGUGUGGUGGCUCACACCUGUAAUCCCAGCAUUUUGGGAGGUCAAGGCAGGUGGAUCACUUGAGGUUAGGAGUUCGAGACCAGCCUGACCAACAUGGUGAAAGCCCAUUUUUACUAAAUAU